rnacentral:misc_RNA from 1 species
GAUGAAGAACGCAGCGAAAUGCGAUAAGUAAUGCGAAUUGCAGAAUUUCCGUGAGUCAUCGAAUCUUUGAACGCACAUUGCGCCCACUGGUAUUCUGGCGGGCAUGCCUGUUCGAGCGUCAUUUCAACCAUCAAGCCCCCGGCUUGUGUUGGGGACCUGCGGCUGCCGCAGGCCCUGAAAACCAGUGGCGGGCUCGCUAGUCACUCCGAGCGUAGUAAUACAUCUCGCUCAGGGCGUGCUGCGGGUUCCGGCCGUUAAAAAGCCUUAUUUACCCAAGGUUGACCUCGGAUCAGGUAGGAAGACCCGCUGAACUUAAGCAUAUCAAUAAGCGGAGGA